rnacentral:snRNA from 1 species
AUGGCGCUUAAGCGCGCGAC